UGCACGUAGCAGACACGUGGCAAAUAUCUGUUGAAUGAUUGGAAUCCCAGGGGCUGUUUGAGCUGCGGUGGAUCCCCACAUAGCACUCGGGCUGUGCUACUUCACGUCCCCACUGCGGAUCUCUGAUAGGACAGCUGGGAGGGUGGGUUGUGGGCCUGGAGCAGGGCUGUCUGGUACCUGCUUCGUGCCAAGUCCACUUACUCGCCUGAGAUGGGGCAUCUGUCAGCCAAGCUUUACCUUCCAUCGUCUCCUGUGUGGGGGGCCAUCUGCAAAUUCUCCAGGAUCUGGGAGAAAAAUCCAACAUCUGUCUGUAUAUCCAUGUGCUGCUGCCCUGCUACCGGCUCCUGGUACAUACCUCAGCAGAAGGGAAUCUAUCCUGCUUCAGAUCUCAACGGCGCUUUGAAGGGUGGCCGCUGGCGAUGGUAAUGGGAGUUACUGCUACUUAACGGCAGAUAAAGUGACGAACGGAAGGUAUCGUGGAUCCCUUGUGCUCCCAUAGAGAUUUUUCAGGAUACAGCAUGGAUUUGCUACUUACCUCCCUCCAUCCUUACAAGCAUUUGGACGUAGCUGGAGUCAGCCUUACGACCUCUGUGGAGGAGGGCUCUGGGCUUCACAGAGACCAGAUGAUUUUCCAACGGCCACGCCGCUGGCUUAUG